GAGUCUGAUCCUCUGAUCAAAGCGCGAGACGUCACUUCACGCAGCGAAAUGGAAGAUGCUUACUUUCCUAAAAUUCAGUCAGCUCAACUAAAGCUACGUUAGCAAACACAUUAAGAAGUAGAUUUAUUUGAAGUUUUGAUGUUUACAGUUUUAUUUUUAAAGCUAAAUUAAAUGUACAUUUAGCCGAUAACGUAACGCCACAGAACAUCUUCAAGUGGGAACGUCAUCAACAAGUUUCUUUUUGAUUUAUGAAUCCCAAAACCUUCCAUUCAAGUUCAGCAAAGAGGAUUUUGUGCCUUUCCUAUUGAAUUUUUUGCGGGAUCAGAGCAGCCAGACUUUGACCCAUGGCCCCACCACACCUGCCAAGACCCCAGCACCUCCAGAUCUGUCAGGACUCAGGGCUCUUAUGACCAGAGAAGCAACAGAUCCACAUCAGUUCAGUGUCCACACAGCACUAGAGUCGAGUUCCUGGAGCUGUUCUUCGUGCUGCAGCUCCUGACAUCUCGUGGCAUGUCUGUCUCCGAGUCUGCGGAGGGAGGAAUCAGUGUCUGUGAAGACAGCCCAGCUGUCAGCCGGGGAGAGGAGAACAGGUGACAUGGAGCAGACAGCUCGACUUCUGGCCAAGUUUUUGGGCUUCAUCUCUUUCCUGCCUUACCAGACCUCUGAGCUUCCACCAAGAGACAUGCUUAGAAGCAAUGUCUGCAAUGUAUAAAGUCAAGAUUUUAUUUUGCCUAGAAAACACGCAUUUUCACAACCUAAUUUGUUUUAUAUAUGUGUAUUGUCCGAGUUCUCCAGUGCUGGAUGUGUGUUUUUCUCUCAACUGUUUACUUUCACUUUAGACAUAAGCAUAACCACCUGUGUUUAUAUGUAAACCUUGUGUGUUUCUGACUGUAUUAGCACAUUCAGAUGUAAAAGAUAACUUAGUCCAGUCAGUAGCCAUUAGCUGUUUGACAGGAUUUUAGUGUGUGCACGCUUCAGGUGUAUGUGCUCAGAAAAAGCGCACAUCAGAACAACACACAAAUUAAAUAUUUAACAGGCAAGGCUUGUUAAAGCAGAUGCAAAUAAUCUAUUUUGUAUUUUUUACACACUGUUGAAGAUGAGAGCAGUUUUUUUAAUGCAUUAUUAAGUGAAAGAAAGUGGUUCAACUGACCACAAAACUCACUGUUCGGAUCAUAUCACGGUUUUAUGGAUCAGCAAGAAAAAAAAAUUCUGUGUAAUUUUGCUUUCCAUUUUUUACUUAAAGCGAAGUACUUCUUUGAUACCACCUGGAAAAGCUACUAACCUAACUAGAAAGACCCAUUACAAUUAAAGACAAGUUGCCGGGGAACACAUAGAGCAUCUGCUAAAUGCAUAAAUUUAAAUUGUAAUUUAAUUUAAUUUAAAGACAAGUGAACAGCCAGUAAAAAACAAAUACACAAAUCACAAGCAUAGAUAUAUAUAACAGAACAAAUGUAUAAAUAACUUGUUCUUGCGCUGGAAUGGUUUAAAAUCACUCGAGUGUGUA